rnacentral:rRNA from 1 species
CAAGAGCGUAUAUUAAAGUUGUUGCAGUUAAAAGCUCGUAGUUGGAUUUCUGGUACAACGCGCCUGGCCCGCUUACGUGAGUGCCGGUGCGCGUUUGCCAUCCUUCUAGAAAACGUCUCUACUCGGGCAACUGAGCCGGAUUCGCGAUCUAGAUCUUUUACUUUUGAAAAAUUAGAGUGUUUAAAGCAGGCUAUUGCCUUGAAUACAUUAGCAUGGAAUAAUAAUCUAGGACUUCGGUUCUAUUUUGUUGGUUUCUAGUACUGAAGUAAUGAUUGAUAGGGAUAGUUGGGGGUGCUAGUAUUGACCGGCCAGAGGUGAAAUUCUUGGACCGUUUGAAGACAAACUACUGCGAAAGCAUUUGCCAAGAAUGUUUUCAUUAAUCAAGAACGAAAGUUAAAGGUUCGAAGAUGAUCAGAUACC